AUGACAAAGAAAAGAAGGAACAAUGGUCAUGCCAAAAAGGCCUGCAGCCACUUGCAGCCUAUUCACUGGAUGAACUGUGCCCAAUGUGUGCCCAAGGACAAGGCCAUUAAGAAAUUCGUCAUUUGAAACAUAGUGGAGGCCACAGCAGUCAGGGACAUUUCUGAAGUGAGCAUCUUCGAUGCCUAUGUGCUUCCCAAGCAGUAUGUGAAGCUACAUUACUAUGCGAGUUGUGCAAUUCACAGCAAAGUAGUCAGGAAUCGAUCUCAUGAAGCCCGCAAGGACCAAACACCCCCACCCUGAUUUAGACCUGUAGGUGCUGCCCCACGACCCCCACCAAAGCCC
rnacentral:lncRNA from 1 species